rnacentral:rRNA from 1 species
ACACGGAGCUUGCUCUGUGGGAUCAGUGGCGAACGCUGUUGAGUAACACGUGAGCAACCUGCCCCUGACUCUGGGAUAAGCGCUGGAAACGGCGUCUAAUACUGGAUAUGUGACGUGAUCGCAUGGUCUGCGUCUGGAAAGAAUUUCGGUUGGGGAUGGGCUCGCGGCCUAUCAGCUUGUUGGUGAGGUAAUGGCUCACCAAGGCGUCGACGGGUAGCCGGCCUGAGAGGGUGACCGGCCACACUGGGACUGAGACACGGCCCAGACUCCUACGGGAGGCAGCAGUGGGGAAUAUUGCACAAUGGGCGCAAGCCUGAUGCAGCAACGCCGCGUGAGGGAUGACGGCCUUCGGGUUGUAAACCUCUUUUAGCAGGGAAGAAGCGAAAGUGACGGUACCUGCAGAAAAAGCGCCGGCUAACUACGUGCCAGCAGCCGCGGUAAUACGUAGGGCGCAAGCGUUAUCCGGAAUUAUUGGGCGUAAAGAGCUCGUAGGCGGUUUGUCGCGUCUGCUGUGAAAUCCGGAGGCUCAACCUCCGGCCUGCAGUGGGUACGGGCAGACUAGAGUGCGGUAGGGGAGAUUGGAAUUCCUGGUGUAGCGGUGGAAUGCGCAGAUAUCAGGAGGAACACCGAUGGCGAAGGCAGAUCUCUGGGCCGUAACUGACGCUGAGGAGCGAAAGGGUGGGGAGCAAACAGGCUUAGAUACCCUGGUAGUCCACCCCGUAAACGUUGGGAACUAGUUGUGGGGUCCAUUCCACGGAUUCCGUGACGCAGCUAACGCAUUAAGUUCCCCGCCUGGGGAGUACGGCCGCAAGGCUAAAACUCAAAGGAAUUGACGGGGACCCGCACAAGCGGCGGAGCAUGCGGAUUAAUUCGAUGGAACGCGAAGAACCUUACCAAGGCUUGACAUCACCUCAUUUGCAUGAUAACGGAGGCCAGAAAUGGUCAACUCUUUGG